rnacentral:lncRNA from 1 species
AUUUUAUAAUUAAGUCUCCCAAACAAAGUUUGGAGACUUAUUGUUUUUGCUCAGUUCUUAUUAUUUUUAUGUCACCCGAUCGACAAUGUCGGGUGACAUAUUGCUUUUCCUCCGUUUCUUUGUUAUUAUGGCACCCUCAACGGAGUUGGGGUGACAUAUUGUUAUUGUUCGGUUCUUUUUUUCUUAUUAUGUCACCCGAUCGACAAUGUCGGGUGACAUAUUGCUAUUCCUCUGUUUCUUUUUCACUAUUAUUAUUAUUAUUAUUAUUCUUCCACCUAGUUUUGUCCGGCAGUUUUCUCAGAGCCAAAGGAACCAAUCUGAAUGAUGGUGCACUAUAACAAGGAACCCUGAAAUUUCCAGGUUGCAGUGGUCAACUUUGGAACUAAAAAAUGGCUGCCAUCACCAUGGAAACCGAAAAAUAAUGGAAAAUUCCAGUUUUUGGUUUUGAUGAAUUAUUUGGAAAUGCUUUAACUUAGAAUCAUUAUAUUUUGAUACAAUGUAGGUGCCGGGCAUAUACUGGUUUUGGAUGAUUUUGGCAAUCAUUGGAACUGCUAUGUUGCCAUGGAUACUACACCAAAAAUUUCAAAAAUAUGGAAA